CUUAACCAAAGUGAAUCGUGCGGGUGGGGUGGUUUGGAGCUGGAGGACUCAAGGGUGUGAACACAGCGGUCCGAAAGGGAAGCCGUGAACUCGGAUUCAAUGCCUGCUUUCCUUCCUCGGAUGUCUUGAACUUCUGGUGACAGGUCUUGUUGGUGAGUGAGGAUUGUCCUGGAAACUCACAGCAAGCAGAGUGAGGGAGCAGAAGGUUCUGUCACUGAUUGCAAAGUUUGAGGUAUGGAAUCUGAGUUGACUGGGCAGGCAGGAGAGAGAGUGUGUGACAUGGAAAGUUGCCGCUUUGGGGAAACAGGAAGGGAAAGAAAUGAACUGGAAGUGUCUGUUCUAAAUUUUUAGUCUGGACUGACAGUGAUGUCUUUUAUAUACUCCUUUUGCAACGGAUCGGGGAAGACAUCUAAAUGAUCUGACAGGAUUUCUCAAUUUAUCAGGACCAGCAUAUCAUUGGUCUUUAAUGUGGAGAGAAAAAUGACUGGAAAAGCACUGAGACUUAGACAAUGAGAGUGAGUGUCAAGUUACACAGCUUUAAAAGUAAAUUCACAACAUUCACAGUGGGUGAACCCAUAUAUGUAUUUUGUGUGUAGACAAGGCUUGAACUAAGUUGUCCAACCUGAAGAAAUACAAAGACACCGGCACCAUGGAGAAACAGUGGAAUUGUGGGGACUGUGGGAAGGGAUUCAAUUACCCUUCCCAGCUGGAGAUUCACCGACACAGUCACACCAGGGAGAGGCUGUUCAUUUGCUCCAUGUUUGGGAAGGGAUUCACAUUUUCGUCAAUGUUACAUAUCCACCAGAGGACUCACACCGGGGAGAAACUCCUCCGUGUAGGGGGAGGGCUUUAAUUUUCUGACCCAGCUGCUGAGGCACCAGCGGGUUCAUAUUGGUGAGAGGCUGUUUAACUGCUCUGAGUGUAAGAAGAGCUUUAAAAGAUGACAGGAUCUGAUCAAACACUAGCUGUUUCACACAGAGAAAUGUUUUAGUUGUUCUCACUGCAGGAGGACAUUUACGGAUCCUCAAAAAAACACCAUCAAGUUGACACUGGGAAGAGGCUGUUCAAUUGCUCCAUGGGUGGGAAGGAAUUUACUCUGGUUAUCUCACUUCAAUUCACACUAGCAUGUUCACACUGAUGACAGAUGUUUCAAAUGUUCAGAAUGUGAGAAGGCCUUUAUAACUACAGGUGCUCUGCUGAGACACCAGCGAAUUCAUACUGAGGAGAGGCCAUUCACCUGCUCUGUCUUUGCCCAAUCUCACUUUACACCAGUGAGUUCACUUUAAUUAGAGACCUUUCCAAUGUUCUGACUGUGAGAAGAGCUUUAAAACUACAAGGGAUCUGCUCAUGCACCAUCAAAUUCACACUGUGGAGAGGCCAUUCACCUGCUCCCUGUGUGGGGAUUCACCCAUUCAUCCCACCUCCUCACACACCAGUACACACAGGGGAGAGGCUAUUUACAUGCUCCCUCUGUGGGAAGCAAUUCACUUAGCAAUCUCACCUUAAUUCACACUGAUAGCAGAUCUUCUCAAUGUUCUGAAUGUGAGAAGACUUUUAAAACCACAGACAGUCUGCUGAGACACCAGUGAAUUCAUACUGGGGAAGAGGGUGUUCAUUUGCUUUGUGGGAAGCGUUUCACUUCGUCAUGCCACUUUUGGAUACACCAGCAUGUUCACAAAUGACUGCAGGGAUGGAUUCUGUUGUUUCUGCUGCUAUUGAUUACAACUAAAUUCAUUCUGACAGCUGGGUUUCAUUUCUGAUGUUGUUAUUAAUCCCAUAACUGAUCUGGAACUUAAUUACUGUAACAGAUCACAAUACAAUAAUGUAAUUUGAAACAGUGUGUCAGGUUCUGUAUUUUGAGAAAUUA